ACGCUCGACACCUACGGAGGCAGCAGUGGGGAAUAUUGCACAAUGGGGGAAACCCUGAUGCAGCAACGCCGCGUGAAGGAAGAAGGUUUUCGGAUCGUAAACUUCUAUCAAUAGGGAAGAAAGAAAUGACGGUACCUAAAUAAGAAGCCCCGGCUAACUACGUCNCANNCGCGAGUAUGNGNGGCGNGNGAG
rnacentral:rRNA from 1 species